rnacentral:rRNA from 1 species
AUUGAACGCUGGCGGCAGGCUUAACACAUGCAAGUCGAGCGAGCGGCGGACGGGUGAGUAAUGUCUGGGAAACUGCCUGUUGGAGGGGGAUAACUACUGGAAACGGUAGCUAAUACCGCAUACCAUCAGAUGUGCCCAGAUGGGAUUAGCUAGUAGGUGGGGUAAUUGCUAACCUAGGCGACGAUCCCUAGCUGGUCUGAGGGGAUGACCAGCCACACUGGAACGGAUAAACGGUCCAGACUCCUACGGGAGGCAGCAGGGGGGAAUAUUGCACAAUGGGUGCAAGCCUGAUGCAGCCAUGCCGCGUGUGUGAAGAGGGCCUUCGGGUUGUAAAGCACUUUAAGAGAGGAGGCGUUACUCGCAGAAGAAGCACCGGCUGACGCCGUGCCAGCAGCCGCGGUAAUUC